UGGCAACCCGCUCCGGUGUCCUUCCAUGCUGUGGAGGCUCUGUUGUUUCGCUCUUUCUACUGCUUACUCUUCGGGUCCACACUGCUUUUAUGAGCUGUAACACUCACCCUGAAGGUUUGCAACUUGACUCCUGAAGCCAGCAAGACCACGAGCCCCAGGGAGGAACGAACAACUCCAGACGCGCUGCCUUAAGAGCUGUAACACUCACCGAGAAGGUCUGCAGCUUCACUCCUGAGCCAGCGAGGCCACGAACCCACCAGAAGGAAGAAACUCUGAACACAUCCGAACAUCAGAAGGAACAAACUCCAGACGUGCCACCUUAAGAGCUGUUAACACUCACCGCGAGGGUCCGCGGCUUCAUUUUUGAAGUCAGUGAGACCAAGAACCAACCAAUUCGGGACACAAUACCAACUCUUUCAUGCCAGGAGAAGCCUCCUUAAAAAAUUUCGGUGAUUAACAGCAGCACAUGGGUCAAAAUCUCCUGAAAGUUGAGCAGGGGAGCUGUAGAAGAAUUCCUCCUUUUCUCGCAGAUGAAAUCUUAUGAUAUAGCAGGGGUUACCUGGCCAAGAAGGAACACAGAGGAGAACAAAGAAAAUUCAAGGAACUAAAUUCCUUCUCCACCUCAACCACCAGCAUUGAUACUCCAUCACUUAUGUACUGCAUCAAGCCGUCCUCAGAGGUGAGGAAGGUGCUGUCAAGACUAGAAGCAUGUGUCCCUCUCUCCAUUGCAAGAUGGGACAUAGAGAGGAGAAAAGUGGCAGACAGAAGUCUUAGGUAUGUCUUUAUCAGCAGCAUGAAAAUGGACUAAUACAGGGACCAAUGAUUGCAUCUACCUCAUGGACUUUUUAUGAGAAUUGACUGAUUUAAUAAAUGUAAAAGACUUAGAACACUGCCUCAUCUAUUGUAAACAGUCAAUAAAUAUUAGUAUCAAUUUUCAUUGAAUCCUAAUCAGUAUAACUAUAAUGUUACAUUCAUGAAUAAGACAAAGGCUGGGACAAAAUAAAUGAGACACUUCACUCAGACCUCUUCAUUGUUUUCCCAGUUGUCAUCCUUUGCACCUAGUUCUGUAAUUAAGAGAGUCUUCUCAGCUUUUUCUUAAAUCAUGUAUUUUCCUCUAGUAUGGCAACUUUAUAAUAUGUUUCCCCCACUUGAAAAUGUUUCCUCCUUUUUCCCACAGUCCAAUCCCCCCAUUAACCCAACCAUCUCUCACAUACAUACCAAUUUUAGGUCCCAAAUCUCUCAGAUCUCACCCUAUUCACAAACCAAAACUUUAUCAGAAAGAUCUAAAACACUUCCCCCAAAGGCAUUUUUAAUCACCAAUAAGGUGUUCUCACUUUCAAGGAUAGUAUAAUGUGAAUGGACAUCAAAGUCUUAAGAUCAAGAAUAUACUCUACUAUUAAAGAGUUCUAACCAUAAGCUAGUGGUUAAUACAGUUUUAGAGGGAAGAGGAUAAGGAAAGCAGACAUUGUCUUUCCUCUUUCCUAAACUUUUCCCAGGUCUAGAUCUACCUCCUAUCAAUUUUGCUACUUUGGUAAACAAACUCUUGGCAUAAAUUCUACCAAAGCACACUUUGGUCUUUAACUUUCAUAGUAGAAGGGAUAGAACAAGUAUCUCUCACCUAACAGAAAUCCACUUAAUGGAAUUUAAAAUCAAAGAAUGUGAUUGAUCCACCAAUUAUUUAAAUACCAACUUGAGUAUACUGAAUGUAAACUUCCAGUGCUGCCAUGUGGACUCUGCCAUCUUGUCCCUACUGCAUGCAGGUCCCUUAUCUAUCAAUGGCUUAGAAAUGACCAAACUCUUAACAAUCAGAACUUUGCAAAUCUUAAAUAAAAACUGUUUUACAAACACCCCAAGACACAUUACAAAUCAAGAAAACUGAAAAUCAUUUUAUAGAAUGCAUAACCCUCAUGGUCCCAGCAGAAAACAGGUGGCAUGCUAAAAUUGGGCAAUUUAAGGAGGAUUUAAUUAAAGAACUAUUUGUAAAGAUGUGGGCAAGAUAUAUGGGAAACAUGAAGGAUG
rnacentral:lncRNA from 1 species